rnacentral:rRNA from 1 species
CACUCCUGCGGGAGGCAGCAGUGGGGAAUUUUGGACAAUGGGCGAAAGCCUGAUCCAGCAAUGCCGCGUGAGUGAAGAAGGCCUUCGGGUUGUAAAGCUCUUUUGUCAGGGAAGAAACGGUGAAAGCUAAUAUCUUUUGCUAAUGACGGUACCUGAAGAAUAAGCACCGGCUAACUCCGUGCCAGCAGCCGCGGUAAUACGUAGGGUGCAAGCGUUAAUCGGAAUUACUGGGCGUAAAGCGUGCGCAGGCGGUUUUGUAAGUCUGAUGUGAAAUCCCCGGGCUCAACCUGGGAAUUGCAUUGGAGACUGAAAGGCUAGAAUCUGGCAGAGUGGGGUAGAAUGCCAGGUGUAGCAGUGAAAUGCGUAGAUAUGUGGAGGAACACCGAUGGCGAAGGCAGCCCCCUGGGUCAAGAUUGACGCUCAUGCACGAAAGCGUGGGGAGCAAACAGGAUUAGAUACCCCGGUAGUCCCAUGAU